rnacentral:rRNA from 1 species
GGGGGGUAGAAUUCCAGGUGUAGCGGUGAAAUGCGUAGAGAUCUGGAGGAAUACCGGUGGCGAAGGCGGCCCCCUGGACAAAGACUGACGCUCAGGUGCGAAAGCGUGGGGAGCAAACAGGAUUAGAUACCCUGGUAGUCCACGCCGUAAACGAUGUCUACUUGGAGGUUGUGCCCUUGAGGCGUGGCUUCCGGAGCUAACGCGUUAAGUAGACCGCCUGGGGAGUACGGCCGCAAGGUUAAAACUCAAAUGAAUUGACGGGGGCCCGCACAAGCGGUGGAGCAUGUGGUUUAAUUCGAUGCAACGCGAAGAACCUUACCUGGUCUUGACAUCCACAGAACUUUCCAGAGAUGGAUUGGUGCCUUCGGGAACUGUGAGACAGGUGCUGCAUGGCUGUCGUCAGCUCGUGUUGUGAAAUGUUGGGUUAAGUCCCGCAACGAGCGCAAC